rnacentral:sRNA from 1 species
GAAUGCAUACUCGAUGACAAGCUUCAGAGCCUUCUUCAUUCCGCACUGAACCAGACACUCGAGCACAAGGAAGAAAAGAAGACUCCAGCUAUUCACUCGACCUCCCACUCCACCACAUGGGUCGAGUACAGUUCUUAAUCCGUCCCAAUACUGCGUCGUUUUGAGUAUUAGGGUUUCGGGAUAUUUGGCUAUAAGUAGUAUGUACUUCACAUUUUCGCAGACAAGUUUUUAUCUAGUUUUAUUUCCGCAGACCUUGUGUUCUAGACCUUUUGUAAUCUGGAUUUCUCUUUAUCUAUUCAGUAUUCAGUAUUCAGCUUUUGUUCUUGAUUUCGUUUACUGUUGUUCAUUCUGUCAUCAUCCUGCUGUUACACUGUUGUUAUCAUGUUUUCAACUUGUUCAACGUUUAUGCUUUCUGUUAUGAUGUCUAAGUAGUGAAUAGGUUUCUGAGGAUGGGUUAGAGUAGUGUAGAAUUCUCAGUAUGCUAGGUGAUUGAGUAUUGAUUGAUAAAUCCCUU